rnacentral:tRNA from 1 species
UUUUUUUUAGCUUAAUGCAGAGCGUUAGUUUGAAGAACUAGAGGUACUUCCAUAGUAAGAAGAU